rnacentral:lncRNA from 14 species
GAAUUUCAAUAUCACUCAGCUUUGACUGAAAUCUUUGCUUACAUUCUUUUUUUAAACAGAUUUUUUUACCUAUGGAAAACUUAUGGAACUUUACAAAUCAUAUACAGCAGAACCAUGUUACAAGGAAAAUGGACUGAAGUGUUGAGAUAUGGAGCCUGGGAGCUACAUAUCUCAGAGCACAGAUCUGAAAAUCUGACAGCUGUGCUGUCUAUCUGCAAAGAACAGUGAGGCUGCUCAGUGGGCUUAGUUUGCAGGUUCCUCUUUCAUCCCUGUUUAAGGCACUGUGUUUUGGACCAGAAAGAGCAAGCAAGAGCUUUGGAGUUUGGUUCAGUGACAUGCAAGUGCUUUGGAAGUGAUACAUGUUUUAUAGGGUCCUGAGAGACUUUGGGAAAGGACAAUAAAAAGUCACUAAAGCCUAGAUGGAAUCCUUGG